rnacentral:lncRNA from 1 species
AUCUGAAGUUUUUCAAAAAUAGCAAAUAAUCGAUUGUGUGUGUUUAACAAUCGAUUGUCAAUGUUCAACAAUCGAUUGUGUGUGGUUAACAAUCGAUUAUUUUAUGAAAAUGCUUAAACUGAAAUUUUCAAGCUGCAUAGUAAUCCAAUAAUCGACUAUCUGAUUUAGUUUGUCAACUGACCGCAGCAGAUUUUGAAAAUAUUAUUUAAANNN